AUGACUGUGAUACAAAAUAGUACAGUUAGAGGAACCACAGGUUCCAUUGACUCUACUGGCUCUACAAAUGUUAUAGGUGAUCAAGAAGGUGGUAUGGCACAACGAGCUCAACCACUUGUUCCAAAUCAAGCUCAACCUGCUACAAAAUCAAUUGCAGAUUCAAAAAAACACAAAUUUAUUCAGCAAUAACUAGUUCUUCUACUUUAUGCACAUAAGUAUUAACAAUGCAAAAGUCAAGCAAACUGUGAAGUUUGGUCAUGUUCAUUGCCAGAUUAUAAAACUAUGAAAAAUUUAUUGACUGAUAUGACUGCUUGUCAAGCAGAACAAAGCAGUACGAUGUCAAACUGUAGAUCUUUGAGGCAAAUUAUUAGUCAUUGGAAACAUUGCAAUUAUAACGUUUCUCGUGUAUGUUUACCUCCAAAGUAAUCAAACAAAAAUAAAACUAAUAAAAUUCAAAUCCAUCAAACUAAAAUGAGAAGAACAUAUCAUGUGUUGUUCAUGUCCUAUUACAACAGCUAGUUUAGUAGCUGCACGAUGUAUUAUUGAAGGAAUGCCAACACGAAGCAUAUAAGGAGCACCUGGUGCAAUAGGAAAUGCUAGAUUAUCUCAACUUACUUCAAAUAUAUCUUUUUCUCUAAAUUGUGAUCCUAAUACAGUUACAGUUGCUGGUAAUCCAGCAAUACUUACCAGUCCUAUGUUUGCUGUUGUAGCGACUGCCAUUAAUAUAUAACAAUCUGUUAAUAUACAGCAACUAUUUGAUUUGAAUGAUUCAAAACAACUUAGUGCUUUAAGUGAAAAUAGGUUAGCUAACCUUCAGCUUCCAGCUGGAAUUCAACCAGGUCAAGUACAAGCAACAUUAGUAUAGGAAUCAAACGAUUGGCAUUAAACUGCAACACCAGAUCUUAGAAAUUAUUUUGUUUAUAAAUUGGUUCAAGCAGUAUUGGUUCAACCAUCUCACAAUCCACAAUCUAUGCUCAAGAAAAGAAUCCACAAUCUUGUAGCAUAUGCAAGGAAAGUUGAAGAUUACAUGUAAGGAAUAGAGAAUUCCAUAUAUUUACUUAUUGAAAAAAUACAUACAAUUGAAGAAGUAUUGUAGAAAGACAAAAACGGAAAGAACAACAACAGUUACAAGUCUAGCAUCAGCAAUAUCCACAACCUUCGAGAACUGAUUUUCCUUAUUUUUAUGUGGAUAGUUUAGUAAUAAAGUUUGAACUCAAAAAUCUCAAAUAAUUAUUUUGUAUCUUUUAUUUUAGUUUUUUAAUUUAUUACUUUUAGUACAUAUAUAUAUAAUAUAUAUUGGCAGCUGUUUUACAUUAAAAGUUGAUAUAUUAAUAAUUCUAUGAUGUUGUUGUGUUUUCAAUUGUAUAAUUGUGUAUCUAAUUAUAUCCAAUGAUUGUGAAAAAAUGGGGAAUUAAUAUUAAUUAAAAAUUUCUUCUGUUUAUUUUUUCCAAUUUACCACCUAAUUUUUCAAAGCUGUCACAAAAUAGAAAUUUUGAAGAACAUACACAACAUUCAUUCAGAAUCAUGAAAAUUUAAUUAAAAAAUUUGAACAUUUAGAUUCAAUUACAAAUUUUCUAGAUUUAAUAAAUAGAUGUGAAAAAAACUUGUAAUUUAAGUAUGUUGAAACAUUAAGUGAAUAAAUUUCAAAAUCUAUUUUUAUAAUCCCGAUUAUAGUAAAUAAAAGUGUGAUUAAUGAACAAGUAAAUCAUGUUUUUCAUGGCUGUAAAGAAAUUUGUUUUAAUUAUCAGAAGUACUGCCUGCUGAAUAAAAAUCGCCUAGGUGGUCCUAUAUGUAAGUUAUUAUGUCUAGUGAGAACGAUACAGAUUUCAACCCUAAACUAAGGAACGAUAAUAAAUACUUGACAUCGUAAAAACUCUUAUAAAAAAAAAAAAACAUUUACGUAUUACUAAGAGACUAUCAAAGGGAUUGUAAUAUUACAUAGUCGACAGAAAUAAA